AUUGAACGCUGGCGGCAGGCUUAACACAUGCAAGUCGAACGGGUGCAGCAAUGCAUCAGUGGCAGACGGGUGAGUAACACGUGGGAACCUUCCUAGGGGUACGGAACAACUCAGGGAAACUUGAGCUAAUACCGUAUACGUCCGUGAGGAGAAAGAUUUAUCGCCCUUAGACGGGCCCGCGUCGGAUUAGCUAGUUGGUGGGGUAACGGCCUACCAAGGCGACGAUCCGUAGCUGAUCUUAGAGGAUGAUCAGCCACACUGGGACUGAGACACGGACCAGACUCGUACGGGAGGCAGCAGUGGAGAGUCUUGGACAAUGGGCGCAAGCCUGAUCCAACUACGCCGCGUGAGUGAAGAAGGUCUUCGGAUUGUAAAGCUCUUUUGCCAGGGACGAUAAUGACGGUACCUGGAGAAUAAGCCCCGGCAAACUUCGUGCCAGCCGCCGCCGUAA
rnacentral:rRNA from 1 species